GCGGCCGUGGCGGAAUUGGCAGACGCUUUGGACUUAGGAUCCAAUGUCGAAAGACGUGGGAGUUCAAAUCUCUCCGGCCGCA
rnacentral:tRNA from 1 species